GAACGCUAGCGGCAGGCCUAACACAUGCAAGUCGCGGGGCAGCACGGGUAGCAAUACCUGGUGGCGACCGGCGCACGGGUGCGUAACGCGUAUGCAACCUGCCCCCAUCAGGGGAAUAGCCCGCCGAAAGGCGGAUUAAUGCCCCAUAGGCCCAGGGCGCCGCAUGGCGCUAUGGGUAAAGCUCCGGCGGAUGGGGAUGGGCAUGCGUGCCAUUAGCUAGUUGGGGCGGUAACGGCGCACCAAGGCGACGAUGGCUAGGGGGUCUGAGAGGAUGGUCCCCCACACUGGUACUGAGACACGGACCAGACUCCUACGGGAGGCAGCAGUGAGGAAUAUUGGUCAAUGGGCGGAAGCCUGAACCAGCCCAUGCCGCGUGCAGGAUGACGGCCCUACGGGUUGUAAACUGCUUUUCCCCGGGAAGAAUAAGCCCCUCGUGAGGGGUGGUGCCGGUACCGGGGAAUAAGGAUCGGCUAACUCCGUGCCAGCCGCCGC
rnacentral:rRNA from 1 species